AAAACAACAACCAGGUAAACAGCGACACCUGGAGGUAACUCAACUUGUGUCUGGCCCGCCUGAAGGUGAUUUCCUUGCUGUGAGUUACAGUCAGUCCCACCCAUAAUUCGAUGUUCUUUUACCUGGAUAAAACUGGAAACAUGCCGCACUCGCUCCCCAACGAAAGUCAGGAGGAUCAGGAGCAGUGGAAAGGGGAGAUGGUGGAACGGUGGAGAGGGGAGAUGGUGGAGUGGCUGGGUGGAAUGUGAUGGUGCCGGACGGCAGGCAGAAGCAGGCCCUCUCAGCAGGAAUGCCUCUCCAACAGCGUGAGCUCGGCUCGGCUCAGAUUGCAAGAGUUGACUGGCAGAUCUGAUAAGGCUUUUCUUUUGCGCACCUGAAAUUUAAUAUACCAUACACCUCUGUUAGCACAAACAUAACACACUAUACAUCACCAUUGACAUUAGUGGUGGGACAGUUUACUCAAGCAGAUUCUUAAAAAUCUAACUCGGAAAAUCAGAAAUAGUUUCUUUUUUGCAUUUUUCAAAACAUCAUUGCCAUAGUAAUGAGACAAAGCUUGUAUAACCUACAUGUUUCAUUUAAUUUGGUAUUAAAUGUGCUGUGAUUUGGUGUGGUGUUAAAUGUUCUGUGAUUUUGUGUGGUAUUGAAUGUGCUGUGAUUUGGUGUGGUAUUAAAUGUGUUGUGAUUUGGUGUGGUAUUGAAUGUGGUGUGAUUUGGUGUGGUAUUGAAUGUGCUGUGAUUUGGUGUGGUAUUAAAUGUGUUGUGAUUUGGUGUGGUAUUGAAUCUGCUGUGAUUUGGUGUGGUAUUCAAUGUGUUGUGAUUUGGUGUGGUAUUGAAUCUGCUGUGAUUUGGUGUGGUAUUCAAUGUGCUGUGAUUUGG